rnacentral:misc_RNA from 1 species
UUAAGGGUAUCAUCGGAUGAACCCGAUGGGCCUUUCAAUCCCCGGUGGGCUCGAGCAUCCGCGGUAUCACCUCGGGUGUCGGAACCCCGGAGUCCCUUGUCGACUCCAGUUCCGGUUGGGGUCUGUCGAUUGUUGGCCGCUGGCGAACAUUUUUGAUUAGAUUCCUGGGGGUAAUCCGGCUCCGGAAGCCGCUGCGUGUCAGUGUGUCCGGGGCUGAGAUCCUCCAUCGGAGGGACCGAUGCGGCAGACGGGGCUCCCCUCUUCUGGGUUGAGGUCCCUAUCUGCCGCGGACCGUCCUCUUGAGAAUUUCAGUGGGGGCAAUCGAAUGCCGUUGGGACGUCCAUCGCGGUGCGCCGCAUGGUCGCCCGCGGCGGGUUUCGGUGAAAGAAACCCCUUCUGCUUAGCUACUUUCUGUCCCCCGCGGGGGUUCCGG